UAGACCGUAGUGGCCUGGAUGCUGU
rnacentral:piRNA from 1 species